rnacentral:rRNA from 1 species
UAGGGAAUAUUAGUAAUGGGCGAAAGCCUGAACUAGCAACACCGCGUGUGCGAAGAAGGCCUUCGGGUUGUAAAGCACUUUUUGAGAGGAUGAGGAAGGACGGUACUCUCAGAAUAAGUCUCGGCUAACUACGUGCCAGCAGCCGCGGUAACACGUAGGAGGCAAACGUUAUCCGGAUUUACUGGGCGUAAAGCGCGUGUAGGUGGUUUGGUAAGUAGAGCGUGAAAGCUCCUGGCUCAACUGGGAGAGGUCGUUCUAAACUGCCGGACUAGAGGAUGGUAGAGGGAGGUGGAAUUCCGGGUGUAGCGGUGGAAUGCGCAGAUAUCCGGAGGAACACCAGUGGCGAAAGCGGCCUCCUGGACCACUCCUGACACUCAGACGCGAAAGCUAGGGUAGCAAACG